AGGGCACCACCAGGAGUGGAGCCUGCGGCUUAAUUUGACUCAACACGGGAAAACUCACCCGGCCCGGACACUGGAAGGAUUGACAGAUUGAGAGCUCUUUCUUGAUUCAGUGGGUGGUGGUGCAUGGCCGUUCUUAGUUGGUGGAGUGAUUUGUCUGGUUAAUUCCGAUAACGAACGAGACUCUAGCCUACUAAAUAGAUCGUCGGCUUACAAACGCCGAUGAGACUUCUUAGAGGGACAGGCGGCGAUUCAGCCGCACGAAACAGAGCAAUAACAGGUCUGUGAUGCCCUUAGAUGUCCGGGGCCGCACGCGCGCUACACUGAAGUGAUCAGCGUGCAUUUUCAGCCUACUCUGCCAAGAGUGGGAAACCCAAUGAACCUUCUUCGUGAUUGGGAUAGGGGAUUGUAAUUAUUCCCCUUGAACGAGGAAUUCCCAGUAAGCGCGAGUCAUAAGCUCGCGUUGAUUACGUCCCUGCCCUUUGUACACACCGCCCGUCGCUACUACCGAUUGAAUGUUUU
rnacentral:rRNA from 1 species